AACGAACGCUGGCGGCAUGCCUAACACAUGCAAGUCGAACGAGACCUUCGGGUCUAGUGGCGCACGGGUGCGUAACGUGUGGGAAGCUGCCCUUAGGUUCCGAAUACCUCCCCGAAAGGGGUGAUAAUACCGGGUAAUGUCCUCGGACCCCAGAUUUGUCGCCUUUGGGUAGGCAAGCGUUGGUUUAGCUUGUUGGUAGGGUAAAGGCCUAACACGGCGAAGAUCGUUAGCUGGUCGUAGAGGAUCAACAGCCACACUGGGAGUGAGACACGGCCCGAACUCUGAGGGUGGGACGCAGUGGGGAAUAUUGGAGGAUGAAGGAGAGCCUGAUUAUGCCAUACGGCGUGAGUGAAGAAGGACUUAGGCUUGGAAAGCGCUUUAGGCCGGAAAGAAAAAAAGCACUUUAAUACCCGGUUAUAAUGACGGUACCGAAAGAAUAAGCACCGGCUAACUUCGUG
rnacentral:rRNA from 1 species